GAUGAACGCUGGCGGCGUGCCUAAUACAUGCAAGUCGAGCGAACAGACGAGGAGCUUGCUCCUCUGACGUUAGCGGCGGACGGGUGAGUAACACGUGGAUAACCUACCUAUAAGACUGGGAUAACUUCGGGAAACCGGAGCUAAUACCGGAUAAUAUAUUGAACCGCAUGGUUCAAUAGUGAAAGACGGUUUUGCUGUCACUUAUAGAUGGAUCCGCGCCGCAUUAGCUAGUUGGUAAGGUAACGGCUUACCAAGGCAACGAUGCGUAGCCGACCUGAGAGGGUGAUCGGCCACACUGGAACGGGGACACGGUCCAGACUCCUACGGGAGGCAGCAGUAGGGAAUCUUCCGCAAUGGGCGAAAGCCUGACGGAGCAACGCCGCGUGAGUGAUGAAGGUCUUCGGAUCGUAAAACUCUGUUAUUAGUGAAGAACAAAUGUGUAAGUAACUAUGCACGUCUUGACGGUACCUAAUCAGAAAGCCACGGCUAACUACGUG
rnacentral:rRNA from 1 species